CGGGACACGUGGUAUCCUGUCUGAAUAUGGGGGGACCAUCCUCCAAGGCUAAAUACUCCUGACUGACCGAUAGUGAACCAGUACCGUGAGGGAAAGGCGAAAAGAACCCCGGCGAGGGGAGUGAAAAAGAACCUGAAACCGUGUACGUACAAGCAGUGGGAGCACGCUUAGGCGUGUGACUGCGUACCUUUUGUAUAAUGGGUCAGCGACUUAUAUUCUGUAGCAAGGUUAACCGAAUAGGGGAGCCGAAGGGAAACCGAGUCUUAACUGGGCGUUAAGUUGCAGGGUAUAGACCCGAAACCCGGUGAUCUAGCCAUGGGCAGGUUGAAGGUUGGGUAACACUAACUGGAGGACCGAACCGACUAAUGUUGAAAAAUUAGCGGAUGACUUGUGGCUGGGGGUGAAAGGCCAAUCAAACCGGGAGAUAGCUGGUUCUCCCCGAAAGCUAUUUAGGUAGCGCCUCGUGAAUUCAUCUCCGGGGGUAGAGCACUGUUUCGGCAAGGGGGUCAUCCCGACUUACCAACCCGAUGCAAACUGCGAAUACCGGAGAAUGUUAUCACGGGAGACACACGGCGGGUGCUAACGUCCGUCGUGAAGAGGGAAACAACCCAGACCGCCAGCUAAGGUCCCAAAGUCAUGGUUAAGUGGGAAACGAUGUGGGAAGGCCCAGACAGCCAGGAUGUUGGCUUAGAAGCAGCCAUCAUUUAAAGAAAGCGUAAUAGCUCACUGGUCGAGUCGGCCUGCGCGGAAGAUGUAACGGGGCUAAACCAUGCACCGAAGCUGCGGCAGCGACGCUUAUGCGUUGUUGGGUAGGGGAGCGUUCUGUAAGCCUGCGA
rnacentral:rRNA from 1 species